GAUGAACGCUGGCGGCGUGCCCAAUACAUGCAAGUCGAGCGAAUGGAUUAAGAGCUUGCUCUUAUGAAGUUAGCGGCGGACGGGUGAGUAACACGUGGGUAACCUGCCCAUAAGACUGGGAUAACUCCGGGAAACCGGGGCUAAUACCGGAUAACAUUUUGAACCGCAUGGUUCGAAAUUGAAAGGCGGCUUCGGCUGUCACUUAUGGAUGGACCCGCGUCGCAUUAGCUAGUUGGUGAGGUAACGGCUCACCAAGGCAACGAUGCGUAGCCGACCUGAGAGGGUGAUCGGCCACACUGGGACUGAGACACGGCCCAGACUCCUACGGGAGGCAGCAGUAGGGAAUCUUCCGCAAUGGACGAAAGUCUGACGGAGCAACGCCGCGUGAGUGAUGAAGGCUUUCGGGCCGUAAAACUCUGUUGUUAGGGAAGAACAAGUGCUAGUUGAAUAAGCUGACACCUUGACGGUACCUAACCAGAAAGCCACGGCUAACUACGUGCCAGCCGCCGCGGUAA
rnacentral:rRNA from 1 species